GAUGAACGCUAGCGGCAGGCCUAACACAUGCAAGUCGAGGGAGGAGCUUUCGGGCUUCGACCGGCGUACGGGUACGUAACGCGUAUACAAUCUGCCUUUCACAUAGGGAUAGCCCGAAGAAAUUUGGAUUAAUACCUAAUGGUAUAUAGAGGUGGCAUCACCUUUAUAUUAAAGCUGAGGCGGUGAAAGAUGAGUAUGCGUUCUAUUAGCUAGUUGGAGAGGUAACGGCUCCCCAAGGCGACGAUAGAUAGGGGUUCUGAGAGGGAUAUCCCCCACACUGGUACUGAGAUACGGACCAGACUCCUACGGGAGGCAGCAGUGAGGAAUAUUGGACAAUGGUCGGAAGACUGAUCCAGCCAUGCCGCGUGCAGGAAGACGGCCUUAUGGGUUGUAAACUGCUUUUGCAGGGGAAGAAUAAGGACUACGCGUAGUUUGAUGACGGUACUCUGCGAAUAAGCAUUGGCUAACUCCGUG
rnacentral:rRNA from 1 species